rnacentral:rRNA from 1 species
GUGGGGAAUAUUGGACAAUGGGGGGAACCCUGAUCCAGCCAUGCCGCGUGUGUGAAGAAGGCCUUUUGGUUGUAAAGCACUUUAAGCGAGGAGGAGGCUACCGAGAUUAAUACUCUUGGAUAGUGGACGUUACUCGCAGAAUAAGCACCGGCUAACUCUGUGCCAGCAGCCGCGGUAAUACAGAGGGUGCAAGCGUUAAUCGGAUUUACUGGGCGUAAAGCGCGCGUAGGUGGCCAAUUAAGUCAAACGUGAAAUCCCCGAGCUUAACUUGGGAAUUGCAUUCGAUACUGGUUGGCUAGAGUAUGGGAGAGGAUGGUAGAAUUCCAGGUGUAGCGGUGAAAUGCGUAGAGAUCUGGAGGAAUACCGAUGGCGAAGGCAGCCAUCUGGCCUAAUACUGACACUGAGGUGCGAAAGCAUGGGGAGCAAACAGGAUUAGAUACCCGGGUAGUCC